GACGAACGCUGGCGGCGUGCUUAACACAUGCAAGUCGAACGGAAAGGCCCUGCUUUUGUGGGGUGCUCGAGUGGCGAACGGGUGAGUAACACGUGAGUAACCUGCCCUUGACUUUGGGAUAACUUCAGGAAACUGGGGCUAAUACCGGAUAGGAGCUCCUGCUGCAUGGUGGGGGUUGGAAAGUUUCGGCGGUUGGGGAUGGACUCGCGGCUUAUCAGCUUGUUGGUGGGGUAGUGGCUUACCAAGGCUUUGACGGGUAGCCGGCCUGAGAGGGCGACCGGCAAUGUUGAGACUGUGAAGCCACCGAGUCUGAGACGAGGAGAAGAGGAGGAUAAUCUACCACAAGGGGAGGAACCCUGCCGGAGCGACCCCGGGGGAGGGAGUACGGGCUUGGGGUAUAAGCACUUUUUCGUCUGGGACAAGGCGUGGGUGAAGGAAGGGAGAAAAGGAGAACAUGCAAACUCCAUGCCAGCAACCGCGUUAAUACAACAAGAGACAACGUAUAACCA
rnacentral:rRNA from 1 species